rnacentral:rRNA from 1 species
UUGACCUCGGAUCAGGUAGGGAUACCCGCUGAACUUAAGCAUAUCAAUAAGCGGAGGAAAAGAAACCAACAGGGAUUGCCUUAGUAACGGCGAGUGA